AGUUGUAUGCUCUGCUAGUUAUGUAUAUUAGAAUUUUAGUAAGAAAUAUUUUAAAAUACUAAACAAUCAUUCCUUUCUUUGGCGUAGACACUUCAGUAUUUUUAUUUUAACAACUCCUUAUCCGCCUCUACUGACAAUUCAAAAUUAAAUUGGCGCGUUCCUUUUUGAGCGAGAAAAUCAACCAAUAUCAGAACGAGUUACAAAAAGCUUUGUUACUAAUAAUCCUUGUUAAUCGCAUAAAUUUUUGCCUUCGCCUAUUUAUUUACCUUCUUUUCUCAUAUAAACAAAAACAACAAUCAACCGCUCGCUUGAAUUCACUCAAAUAUUCGGUAAUUCAAAAACCAAAACCAAAAAAAACAUACGAACGACAGACUCAGUGAAACAGCGAGGCUGCUGCGUAGCGUUUUUACGCGUCGUGCCAAUACCAGAGUCGAAACGGAACUAGAACUGUCGCACGGUUACGCUUUCUCCCAAGAGGAAGGUGGUGCAGUGCCACAAUCCGUCGUUAUACGCGCGUACGACACGAAUUUGCCGAAACCAGAGGGCAACUAAGCGCAUGAAACUACAUAAAAACUGGUACUGGUUAUGGAGCAGACAAAAUCAAUGAGGAGCGAGCAUAUGCUGGGUUCGAGCAAAACUGAAGUAGACCAUUACAGAGUGACAGCAAAGUGGAUGAAACUGUAGAAGAUCAUUACAGUAAACAAGCAAAGUGAAUGCGGUGGAAAUAGUCACACAAGGGAUUGUGGUGAUUCAUAACUCGAAAAGUUUUAUGUGCGUUCCCAAUACUAGCACAUCUUUCAGUUCGCCGAAAUGUUAGGCCAACCAUUAUAACCAU